AAGUCGUAACAAGGUUUCCGUAGGUGAACCUGCGGAAGGAUCAUUAACAGUUCUAGCCAACUAGUUUGGCGGAAAUGGAGGGCCUACGCAAGCGAUGAAAAUAGCUUGCUAUUACGGGGCCCUCAUACACCCUUGCCUUUGAGUACCUAAUUGUUUCCUCGGUGGGUUACCCCACCGAAUGGACAUUAUAAUAACCUAUUUUUCUAUGUAAUUACAAUCAGUCUCAAAAUAAAUAUACAAUAUUUACAACUUUCAACAACGGAUCUCUUGGUUCUG
rnacentral:misc_RNA from 1 species